rnacentral:rRNA from 1 species
CAGAGGGGCAAGCGUUAUUCGGAUUAUGGGCGUAAAGGGCGCGUAGGCGGCGAUUCAAGUGACGGGUGAAAUCCCUCGGCUUAACUGAGGAACUGCCUGUCAGACUGGAUGGCUUGAGACCGGGAGAGGUGAGUGGAAUUCCCAGUGUAGCGGUGAAAUGCGUAGAUAUUGGGAGGAACACCCGUGGCGAAGGCGGUCUCCUGGGACGUUCUUGACGCUGAGGCGCGAAAGCUGGGGGAGCGAACGGGAUUAGAUACCCCGGUAGUCCCAGCCCUAAACGAUGGAUACUAGGUGUCGGGGGUAUCGACCCCCCCGGUGCCGUCGCUAACGCAGUAAGUAUCCCGCCUGGGGAGUACGGCCGCAAGGUUG